AUAAAUACAUUUGUAUCAUUCCAAUUCAAGGUUAAUGCCAAAAUCUAUACUCAUCAAAUAUUACUCUAUUCUCUCUAAUUCUCUCUCAACUUCAUCUUCCCCAAUCUUCUUUUCUUCCACCAUUAUUUUCAAUUUUCAGUUUUAUAUAUUAUGUUCCAACAUUAAUACCAUAAAAAAAAACUAAAUCGAUAUCAUCAUGAGAAACAUAACCACACAAUG
rnacentral:lncRNA from 1 species